GAUAGAAUUUAGCAAAGGUCCGACAGAUUACUGAAAUAUCAGAUUUAUUUCAUCUUACCCUCAUUGUACAAAUAUGAGCAUUUUUAUUGUAGAAUGCGCCGCCGAAGUCCAGCCGAUGGCCGAGGAACAUAUGCCAAUGCCCUCUACCGUACAGCGAACUGAAAAUACAAGAAUAAUUAACUAUUCUACUCAUCAAGUAGAUUCCCCACGUCGCAACGGUCGACUUUUAGGUUCUGAAGCACUACUUCGAGGUCCGGACCCAUUUUUCAAAUAAAUUUCUUCCCGACAAAUCUACGCGCAUUAAACAAAUUGACAACAA